AGGAAAUCUAAAACUGAUGGGACAUCUGAGUUAUUGGCAGAAGUUACCUACAACGUAAAGGUUAUUCAUUUCAAGAAAGCACACAAAAUCUGGUGUUGAUACCGAAAUGAUAAAUAACUUAUUUCUAAGUCUGAAUUGAAUUUACACAAUAGCUUAUUGGUCACAUUGUAGACAAGGUCGUGCACUAGGAACAUUCACGUAUCAGAAGUUGGUGCUCAAAAUCUGCAAAGAGAUCAUUCAGUAUAACAACCUUUGCAUCAACUUGAUGAAUAAGAAGUGCAUUGUCGUCCACACUCGCAAC
rnacentral:lncRNA from 1 species